rnacentral:rRNA from 1 species
AUUGAACGCUGGCGGCAUGCUUUACACAUGCAAGUCGAACGGUAACAGGGUGCUUGCACCGCUGACGAGUGGCGAACGGGUGAGUAAUGCGUCGGAACGUGCCGAGUAGUGGGGGAUAACGCAGCGAAAGUUGUGCUAAUACCGCAUACGUACUGAGGUAGAAAGUGGGGGACCUUCGGGCCUCACGCUAUUCGAGCGGCCGACGUCUGAUUAGCUAGUAGGUGAGGUAAAGGCUCACCUAGGCGACGAUCAGUAGCGGGUCUGAGAGGAUGAUCCGCCACACUGGGACUGAGACACGGCCCAGACUCCUACGGGAGGCAGCAGUGGGGAAGUUUGGACAAUGGGCGAAAGCCUGAUCCAGCCAUGCCGCGUGUCUGAAGAAGGCCUUCGGGUUGUAAAGGACUUUUGUCAGGGAGGAAAUCCCUAGCGUUAAUACCGCUGGGGGAUGACAGUACCUGAAGAAUAAGCACCGGCUAACUACGUGCCAGCAGCCGCCGCCGUAA